rnacentral:lncRNA from 1 species
UUCUAUUUUCUCUUAUUUGUAAAAAAUACAUAUUUUGUAGUAAAAAACGAAGUGUGUAAGUAUUAUAAGUACUAGGAAAGGUGAAUAAUAGAGAAAUGCAUGAAAUAAGUAAGAGAAGACUUUGUUGAAUGGCGAAAUAAAGAAACAACAUUUUUUGUGAUGAUAAGUAAGGAAACAUGAAAGCAAAAGCAAAAGUAAGGAAAAUGAAGUUGAGGUUGAGUGAUGACAUAAACAUUACAUAUAUGUAUGUAUUGAGUCACACUCACACCACAUAAAGCUUAAUUAGAGAGACCUAUCAUCUGUCAAACUCUGAACAUCAUCAUCAUCGCCAUUGAAACUCCCAAGCAUAUCAUCGACUCACCUCCACCACCACCACCUGACGAAUUUGGUGACGGUGAUGGUGCCAGUGCCGGUGCUGAAAGUGAUGGUGCUAAAGGUGACGGUGGAGGAGGCGGGAAAGCAACCAAGGAUUUUGGCGUAGGAAGCGGGAAAGCAACAGAGGGAGGUGGCGGGGGAAUUGGAGGUUGAGUGACAAGCAGAGCGAGCUUUAAGCCACCUUUGCAAUGACGCUUGUUUCCACUUAUGAAAUAAUACAUUCCUAUUUUGUUAAGUAUCACCUUCGUAUUCCCGUCGUGGUCCACCAGGUGACCUUUUCCCCCUACAUUACACGAACUAUAGUCUCCCUCGUUUACUGCGUGCACCGAUUCAUUUCUACUAUCGUAACAAAACGCUGUAAUUCAUUUCAACAUAUAUAUUUCACAUUAUAUAUAAGAAAACACAAACAGCAGUAAUUAAUUAAAUUAGAUUAGUUACCAAUAACAUCGCCUAUUAGGAAGUUGUGACUAGAGGCCCACAGACUUAGUAUAUCUCGUGAUGGAAGAGGAAACUUCCAGCUCCAAUUUUCACCGUCACCAACCACAUAUCGUGUUGAUUCCGAACACCUUAUUAGAACCCACAUUGACAAUAUCAGAGUCAACCAUUUUCGACAAUAAUAAUAACCCAUUACGUUUAUUAAUUGCUUAAUUCCUCUCUUUCAAAGGAUUCUCACAGAUUAAAUAGGGUUCAUCAAAACACUCAAUCGAAUAUAUUAUAUAUACUAAACAAUCCAAGCCCCUUCGCGAUUUCCAACUAACAUCUUUAUCUACGCGAGUUUUAAACAAAGUGCACCUUUUCGUAAUACUUUGGGACGAAUCGCAUCAAUUUAAGUCUCUGUCCGAAUCGCCUAAUUAAGCACAAGGGUCGAAUCCAAGGGAUGUCAAAUAAAUUAAUGCGGUAUAAUGCUAUAGAUGAACUUCAUUUUUACUCUUUUUCGUGGUAAUAAUUAUGAUUGGUAGAGUUAAUUUAAAAUGUAGGGAUGGUCAGGGGAAAAAAAAAUUAUAGGUAAAAUGAUUAAAAUGCCCAUAUUAAAACUAAAGAAUUACAAGAAUACUUAAACUAAUUCAUUUUUCUCUUUCUUCUUCUCUCUUCCAUCCAGCCUCUCUCUGUUCUCUUCUCUGUCCCUCCCUCUUACUUACAAGUUACAGCCGUCCUCUCUCCCUCUUCCAUAAUCAGAUUCACGAAUCAAUCACGACAAACGCGCGACCGCCUCUGCUCGCUGCGGGCCUGCGUGGCCGCCUCUGCCUAACUGCCUCUGUCGCCGUUCCGCCCGUUCGUCGCUCUCGGGCCUGUUCGCUGCAACUCUCAAAAUGUUCGAAUUUCUAUUUUGUUAUUGCUGAUUUUUGUUAGUUAGAGCUGAUUUUUGUUUGAUUUAUGUUAGCAUGAAAUUUAAAACUUACAUUGUUAGUGUUGAGUUUGAAGCUUUGAUUUGGAGUUUGUAAUUUUGAUUUGGAGUUUCAAUUAGAAUUAGUGCUGAUUUUUUUUAUAGUUUUUGUGUUGACCAUACUGUGUUUGAUUUUAUGUUAAUAUAAAGUGUUUAAUUUUUUUGACGUCGCACAUUUUUUUUGUACAUUAUGAUCUUUGAAUUACUUGAAGAAAAAAAAAAACUUCAACAGAUACAUAAGUAGUAAUUCAGAAGUAAUUUCUUAAAAAAUAUUAGUUUGAUAAAAAUGAAAAAAGUAUAAUGUAUUUUAUAUUGAAUUGACUUCGAUCAUAUUACUAUUUUAUCUACAAAGAGGAUGAGGAUUAAAAACUAAAUCGAGUGUCGUUAGAAUUGCAAUGAUUUUUAUGUAUUAUUCACGAUAAGACUACUUAUAAAUGUGGUUCAUUGUAGAACUCACCUAUAAUUUUAAUAUUUAAAGAAAAAAUGUAUUAUAAUCUUUAUGUUUUGGGUCAAAUCUAAACCUAUUUAGAACGAACAUCCACACUGAGGGUCCAACUCGGAACGUCUCGUUAAGCAUAUUCAUAUUGCAUGAUCGUGAUCAGGCGUCAAUCCACAUAUCAUGCAUGUUGAGGAUCACUAAUCUAGUAUGUUUCCUUAAUAUAUUUUCCCGCCAUUUAUCUUAAAUGGAUCCACUACAGAGAGUUCCUUUUUCUAAAAGCAAAGUAUACAUUAUUUUUUAAUACCUCUCACUCACUUCAAUAUAUGAUUGACUUAAACAUUUGAGUGUUUGUAUGUAUAUCAUCCCAUCAGAGAUCUCGAGUUAUUGUUCUUAAUUGUGUCUUACAAAACCAACCAUUAUUCGAGAUCUACUUUAGAUAAUUGUCGUCUUCUAUAAGAAUUUUAUUUUGUUUCUUUUCCAUGAAAUAUUUAUUCCUAUUGUGGUAUGAUUAGAUCCAAGCGUCGUAUUGUUUCUCGUGCUUAGAAGCUCGCCAAAGUCGUCAUACCUCCUCCUCAUUAGGACAAAUAUUAUUGUGUCUCCUUCUCUAGUCCACACCAUUUCCUCUCAUCCCAACUCAGGACAUUGUCUAACUAGGACUGAUAAAAAAAAUCGUACAUGUGAGAAGUUGCAGAUACAAUAUGAGAUUGAGAUGAAGCAAGUAGCUUAAUAGGUACAUUGUGAUAAAAUAAAUAGAUAUCUUAACUAUCUGUUAGUUAAUAGAUCAAACUAGUAAGUCUAAAAAUGGAUUUUUUUUUUUUUUUUAAGAGUGUAAUGGCAAAAUUCACACACACUUAUGUGAAGAAAGAUGGUACCCUAAGUUCGAACUCGUGCUACAACAUAUUAGCAAUAGUUAUAUAUUUAAUUAUGAGUAAGCCACUGAUUUAUUUCCUUAAAUCGUGGAUGUUUCUCACUCAAAUUUAUCCUCCAUUUUUCUUUUCAACGUCAAUCAAAAUAUUUCAUCUAUUAACGAGUCUUGUUAAAUGUGUUAAUAUGUCAUAUUAGCAAUAGUUAUAUAUAAUCUCUCACAAGUUCAUAAAUCUUUAAAUUCUCAAAAUUAUAAAAUCAACAAAUUCAAAAAUUACACUGCCCAAAUCAUUUUUAGAUUUUUUAAAAGUUUAAUAAAUAUGGAUGAUAUAUUGUAAUAUUUUCAUACCAUCAUUCAAUAAAAAACUAUUAUGUUGUGUAUCAUACAAUCAAUUUUGAACUUAGAUGAUUAAGCUCAAUUAUUAGUUAAUGAAGAUUUCACUUAACGACGAAUCAUAGAACUCGAAUACAAAUCUUAACUCAAACAAUUUUUUAUCAAAUUUUAUUUACCUCUCAAACGAAAUCUAAAUUAUUAAGGUCUCGUUCAUUUGAGAACCAGAAUAUUUCAACAACAAAAAAUACAACAAAUUUUAAAAUAUCUAUGUAAUUUAGCCAUAUAAAACUAUUUUGUAAUAUCUUCUAUUUUCUCUUAUUUGUAAAAAAUACAUAUUUUGUAGUAAAAAACGAAGUGUGUAAGUAUUAUAAGUACUAGGAAAGGUGAAUAAUAGAGAAAUGCAUGAAAUAAGUAAGAGAAGACUUUGUUGAAUGGCGAAAUAAAGAAACAACCUUUUUUGUGAUGAUAAGUAAGGAAACAUGAAAGCAAAAGCAAAAGUAAGGAAAAUGAAGUUGAGGUUGAGUGAUGACAUAAACAUUACAUAUAUGUAUGUAGUGAGUCACACUCACACCACAUAAAGCUUAAUUAGAGAGACCUAUCAUCUGUCAAACUCUGAA